GAUGAUGAGGGUGGGAUGGAAGGCUUUGAGACAUACCUGAUCCUUAAACUGAAUCUUGAAAGAUGAGUAGGAGUCAGCCUGAUAGUUGAGGAGGGACAGAGGGAUACCCUCUGAUUCUGUGUACCUUAACUUCAGAAUGUGGCUUUCCCCAGCUGUUGGACUUGUCUUCCACUUCACCUUGGGCCCUCAGUACCUGAUGAGUUACAAUAGCUACCUACCACUUAUUCAACACCUAUUACAUGUCAGACUCGAGGAUAGUAACAGGGGCUUCAUAUGUAUUUUCUCAGUUAAUCCUCCCAGCAACCCUUAUUAAGAUCAGGAAGCUGCAACUCAGAGAAGCCAAGCAACUCUCCUCUAAGAUUACACAGACAAUAAACGACAUGGCUAGGAUUUCAA